rnacentral:rRNA from 1 species
CAUUAUUGAAUAUGCUUGAUAGGUUGUAGCUGGCUCGCUUGGAGCAUGUGCACGCUUGUCUUGACUUUAUUCAUCCACCUGUGCACCUUUUGUAGUCUUGAGUGGAUUGGAUCCGAGGAUCGGAGGUGACUCCGGAUGUGAGGAAUGCCAUAGGCAUGGCUUUUCUCUAAUGGAUCUAGCUCGAGGACUAUGUAUUUUUCAUAUACUAGCAUGUCGUAGAAUGUGAUCAAUGGGAAUAAUGGAUAAUACAACUUUCAGCAACGGAUCUCUUGGCUCUCGCAUCGAUGAAGAACGCAGCGAAAUGCGAUAAGUAAUGUGAAUUGCAGAAUUCAGUGAAUCAUCGAAUCUUUGAACGCACCUUGCGCUCCUUGGUAUUCCGAGGAGCAUGCCUGUUUGAGUGUCAUUAAAUUCUCAACUCCAUGUAUUGUGAUGAUAGAUGGGGCUUGGAUAUGGGAGCUUGCGGGUCAGGUCCUUUAUGGAUGGAUCAGCUCUCCUGAAAUACAUUAGCGGAACCGUUUGCAGUUGCCGUCAGUAGUGUGAUAAUUAUCUACACUGUGAUGGAUUGCUCUCUGACUAGUUCUGCUGCUAAUUGUCCGUUGUGGACAACAAUGAUGAUUAUCUUGACCUC